rnacentral:lncRNA from 13 species
UUUGUAUGCGUAUGAAGCUGUGUGAACUACAUGUGUUUUAAAAAGUGUGUAUCUCUAUAUUGUGUAGGGUCCAGAGGUGCUCGUAUAUAAACUAGAUGCAGACCUGAGACCUGCCCUGUGAGUUCUCCUCCUGCUUGAUGCAAACUGAGAUACAGAACACACCAGAGAUCAGCGUGAUCCAAAACCUCAUCAACAACUAUGUACAACUGUUUGGGCAAGACUAUUCAAGUGAACGACUCACUAAUGGAUGAAGAUGCGCUCGGCAAAGGCCAUCAAAAUUGAUACAGAAAAAAAGAAGUUCAAGCAAGCUGAGUCCCAAGUAUCCCCUCAAACUCCAACUUAGGGUGGCAAUUGCUCGCCAGGGACCAGGCCCAUAUUUGAUUUUUGAUGAUAUCAUGGCUCAAGAUUUCUUUGAGGAAGAAAUCGUCAAGAGAUAGGGUCCAGCAUAUGUUAGAGAGGUGUUUCUGGGAACAAGUCGUUUCUUUCAAGACAACGACCCAAACCCAAUUGGGAGAUUUUCACACCAACAGCAGCUCUAUGAAGAGUUGCGUGUCAAUUCAUAAACCAUGUGCCAUGGAAUCUCUUUCCAACAAUUUUGUAAUCUAUAUGGCUCUCCGACAUUUUGCGGUUGCAUGA